CGCCCCCCGGCGGAUGUACGGGGCUGGUCCUUCGCACGGCUCGCGGCCCCCACCCUAACCCAUGGCAGUUCGGGGCGCCCUAGCCCCCGGGACCCAAGGGCGACUGCUGGAAGACAGCCCAGAGGGGUAGCUGGAGUGCGCCCUGGGAGUAGGAGCUGUUAGAGAAUCGACACUGAGGAGGACCCGGUCGCUCGCGCCGCUGCUGCCUGGCAGUGCCUGGCACCGACUGGAUCUCAGCCCCAGCGCUGACUGUGCCAAGCGCUGCCAGGCGACUGGAUGGAAGGCGUCCAACCUGAUAAAUUAUGGUGUAGAAGAAUGGCCUGUGUAGACGAGCUCUGGGUACUAAAGUUGCAAGACCAAAGAGGACGGUGGGCUGCCUGCCACACCUCCUCCUGGCUUGGCCCCUCUCUGGCUGGGCGAUGGGCUCCCGUGGACCAAGAUGAACACUACUGCAGCGCCCCCUGCUGCAUGAUAACCACAGUGCUUGGAAAACAGACCCGGAGAGGGCUGACUGACCCCGCCCCCCUCCCCUCCGCCCUCCAAGGGAAGCGCCUAAGUAACAAGCUUUCCAGGACUCAAAUCCAGGGCAACAAAUGUAAUCCUCUGGAUGUCUGGCCGUGGCCUGAGAAGUAAAUACUGUGGUUUGGGUGUCAGCAAAACAAAACUCCGUCUUUUCCUGAUUUCACAAAAAAAUCUGUGUAGACACGGAUGAAAUGGUGAACAUUUAUUAUAUUUAUUUUGCCAUGCAAGAUGGACCCAUUUUUGUUCCCUGAGACAAACAUAUGUAAAACAUACAAAAAAGGGAGUUGUAUCUUUAAAGGCAGACACUGAUCUUUUAACUUUUUUUUUUAACUCUGUAACCUCUGCUCACUGUUGCAAAGUUUAAAAAAUCCUGUUAAUUGACCCAUCAAGUUCCUCUAUAUCUGUAUCCCUCCACUGUAUUUACAUGUUGAUAUUGGAUCCUAGCACACUGGAUGAAGAGCACCCAGGAACUGAAGUCCUCACUGUGCUAUUAUUACAUGAGAAACCUUUGGCCAGUCCCUCAACCUCUUUGUGCCCCUUUUGUCUCACCUAUACAGCAGUGAUGAAAAUAAUAUCUGUGGGUACUAUUAUUAUGAAGAUUAAAGUAAUUAAGGUGUGAAACACCUAAGUGCAAUAGAAGGGCUAAUAAUAAUAAUUAUAAUUAUUAUUAUCUCCAACUUUCUCCAUUCCUUUUAGUUGUUCACUAAAACCUAGAUACUUCCAAAAUGUAGAUCAUGGCAUCCACAUGGCCCCAACCCUAUUUCUAACUCCCUUGUUUUCUGCAUGGACUUAAGCAGUACCCUUAUUUCUACUUCUGCAGUUCCCCCUUCCCCACAGUCUUACUUCAGGCAUUAGAAGAUUCUUUUGAAAACUUACAAUGUCUCUACUUUAAAAUGCUUAAUGACUUCCUGAUACACAUCGAAUAAAACUCUUGAUUUUUACCACGGCCAGCUAGGCACUCCUUUGGCCCUGAUCCCUUCCCUCCCCUCACAUUGUGCUCAAGUGUUCCAGCCACACGGGCAUCCUUCUCUGACACCACUCUCUCCUCUUUCUGCCUGGGAUGCCUUCUCAGACCUUCCCUAGCUCCUUCUCAGCAUGCCAAUCUUAGUUCAAAUGUUAUCCAUCCACCUGAGAGAAUUCCCCCACCCACCCUAUACUGUAGCCUCAUUCCCAGCCAUCUUUGUCCCAUUUUCACCCGAAUGAUUUUCUUGAUAGCAUGCGUUGUAUCUGGAAUGCCCACUAGAAUGGCAGCAGCUCCAAGAGGGCGAGGA